rnacentral:rRNA from 1 species
UACGGAGGAUCCUAGUGUUAUCCGGAUUUAUUGGGUUUAAAGGGAGCGUAGGCGGGAGGUCAAGUCAGCUGUGAAAUGUAUCUGCUUAACGGGUACACUGCAGUUGAAACUGGUUUUCUUGAGUGCGUAAGAGGCAGGCGGAAUUCGUUGUGUAGCGGUGAAAUGCUUAGAUAUGACGAGGAACUCCUAUUGCGAAGGCAGCUUGCUGGGUCGUUACUGGCGCUGAUGCUCGAAGGUGCGGGGAUCAAACAGGAUUAGAUA